CACAUAGGGGGCGAGCGUUGUCCGGAUUUAUUGGGCGUAAAGAGCUCGUAGGCGGCUCAGUAAGUCAGGUGUGAAAACUCCAGGCUCAACCUGGAGACGCCACCUGAUACUGCUGUGGCUAGAGUCCGGUAGGGGAGCAUGGAAUUCCUGGUGUAGCGGUGAAAUGCGCAGAUAUCAGGAGGAACACCAGUGGCGAAGGCGGUGCUCUGGGCCGGAACUGACGCUGAGGAGCGAAAGCGUGGGGAGCAAACAGG
rnacentral:rRNA from 1 species